GGACUACCGGGGUAUCUAAUCCCGUUUGCUCCCCUGGCUUUCGCGCCUCAGCGUCAGAAGGGGUCCAGCACGCCGCUUUCGCCACCGGCGUUCCUUCCGAUAUCUACGCAUUUCACCGCUCCACCGGAAGUUCCGCAUGCCCCUACCCCCCUCGAGGCGGCCAGUAUCAGGGGCACUUUUCCGGUUGGGCCGAAAGAUUUCACCCCUGACUUGGUCGCCCGCCUACGCGCCCUUUAAGCCCAGUGAAUCCGAACAACGUUCGCACGGUUCGUCUUACCGCGGCGGCUGGCAC
rnacentral:rRNA from 2 species